AGAAUCAACGCUGGCGGCGUGCCUAACACAUGCAAGUCGCACGAGAAAGGGGAGCAAUCCCUGAGUACAGUGGCGCACGGGUGAGUAACACGUGAAUAAUCUACCUCCGAGUGGGGAAUAACUGAGAGAAAUCUUAGCUAAUACCGCAUAACACUUACGAGUCAAAGCAGCAAUGCGCUUGGAGAGGAGUUCGCGGCAGAUUAGUUAGUUGGCGGGGUAAUGGCCCACCAAGACGAUGAUCUGUAUCCGGCCUGAGAGGGCGCACGGACACACUGGAACUGAAACACGGUCCAGACUCCUACGGAGGCAGCAGUGGGGAAUUUUGCGCAAUGGGGGAAACCCUGACGCAGCAACGCCGCGUGGAGGAUGAAGCCCCUUGGGGUGUAACUCUUUCGAUCGGGAAGAUAAUGACGGUACCGAUAUAAGAAGCCCGGCUAACUUCGCGCCAGCAGCCGC
rnacentral:rRNA from 1 species